rnacentral:misc_RNA from 1 species
CAUUACUGGAACUCCUCCGGGAAUUAGAAGAAGAUGUUCGGUCAAGAAACGCCGAACGCGGGGAAUCAAAAUCACUUAUGCUCUUAGAAUUCCUGUUUCUAGCAUGAUGUGCUGACGACGAAACAUCUGAGUGGGAAGAAGAAGAUGCAGUGUGGUGGGCUGAACUGCCUCCCCCUGAAACACUCCCAGAACUUCUCAACCAUUCUGGAACUAAUGUGGGUUCACUUCUUUCCAUAAGAAGCAGUACUGAACAUCAUCAGAUUAAAAAAGAAAAAGUAAUACUUCUCACCUUUUUCACCCCCUCCCCUCUUCUCCUAACAGAAUUAUAGUCUUUCUAUACAAAAAAACCCACCACCUUCUAUCCC